ensembl:lncRNA
UAUUAAAAAAAUAUUGGACCAUUAACUUUAGUCAAAACGACAUUAUGCUACAUCUUCAAAUUCAAUUAGAAGAGUUGAAUAUUGCAUGAUUAAGAGGUUAACCACUUACUCUGAGUUAACUUAGCCAGGUUUGUCACCAAACUACGUACUUUGAAUACUCCCCAGGAAGUGACAUCGAAAGUAAAUAGACAGUUGGUGUUGAGGAAGCUGUGUUAUAAUCCAAAAGCGCAAACCGUCUCGAUUUAAGCAACACUGGAUUAUUGCAGACAGAAUUUAACAGAAGCAGAAGUCUAAAUGAGAGAGACAGGUGUGUAUGUAUGUGUGUGUGUGUGUGUGUGUGUGUGUGUGUGUGUGUGUGUGUGUGUGUGUGUGUGUGUGUGUGUGUGUGUGUGUGUAUGUAAGUGUGUAUAUAGAGUGUGCAUUUCUGGCGAAAUCAAAUGAUUGUCUUUCCUCCUUGAUCAGGUUUGCAUUCUUCUUAGCCUAAUAUCUCUGGCCUAAAUAUCUGAAAGUAAUCAGUAAUGUAGGUGUGCUUCAGGCAAUUAUGACAGACAACAAAAUACAAUGAAUAUCUUUUCACUAAUAAACAUAUUCGAGUGAAACUGGAAUCUGAAUUAAGACUGGAAAGAAGGAGUAAUGUCAUCAGAUUUCAGAUGGCAACUUCGAUUAAGUUAUCACAGUAAAUCCCAUCGAUUAUGUGUG